GGGCACAUGGUGUAGUUGGUUUAUCACGCCCGCUUAGCAUAUCUGUUUGACUGCGGGAGGUGUUGGGUUCAAUUCCCAAUGUGUCCA